rnacentral:rRNA from 1 species
UGAGGAAUUUUCUGCAAUGGGCGAAAGCCUGACAGAGCAAUAUCGCGUGAGGGAAGACAGCUUACGAGUUGUAAACCUCUUUUUUCAAGGAUGAAGAUCUGACAGUACUUGAAGAAUAAGCAUCGGCUAACUCUGUGCCAGCAGCCGCGGUAAAACAGAGGAUGCAAGUGUUAUCCGGAAUUAUUGGGCGUAAAGAGUCUGUAGGUUGAUAUAUAAGUCUUGUGUUAAAGAUUAGGGCUUAACCUUAAAUAUGCAUAAGAAACUAUAUAUCUAGAGUAUGGUAGAGUUUAAAGGAAUUUCCAGUGGAGCGGUGAAAUGUGUAGAGAUUGGAAAGAACUUCAACAGCGAAAGCAUUUAAAUUGGCCAAUACUGACACUGAGAGACGAAAGCUAGGGGAGCAAACAGG